rnacentral:rRNA from 1 species
AACCUUCCUACAAGUGGGGAAUAGCCCAGAGAAAUUUGGAUUAAUACCCCGUAACAUAACGAUGUGGCAUCACAUUGUUAUUAUAGCUUCGGCGCUUGUUGAUGGGUGUGCGGCUGAUUAGAUAGUUGGCGGGGUAACGGCCCACCAAGUCUACGAUCAGUAGCUGAUGUGAGAGCAUGAUCAGCCACACGGGCACUGAGACACGGGCCCGACUCCUACGGGAGGCAGCAGUAAGGAAUAUUGGUCAAUGGACGCAAGUCUGAACCAGCCAUGCCGCGUGAAG